CGAAGAAUUACCUUUUUCUGCAUAUGUUUCGUCUUGUAAAACAAAUUCUAAUCAAGACAAUAAAGAAUCCGCUAAAACCGUCUGCAAAAAUCAGAUCCCACUGGAUAGAUUUUUAAAAUUUUAAAAAUAGAAUUACAGAAAUAUAGUUGAAAUGUUGCUUUUAUAAACCUUAAAUCUGGAAUUAAAUAAUUUCUUUCAUAUUGCUGAAAAAUGUAUAGAAAAUAUGCUGUUAUUUUUUAAGUCCUUUUGAUCCACGUAACCCCUUAAAGGGUAAUUGUGUACUGUACGAAAUAAUUGGUGUUGUUCAUGAGUAAAUUUCUGAUUAUAAACAGAAAAUUAAAUAAUUUAAUAAUUUUUCUGUUUUGACUUGUUAUGUUCAUGAAUUUAUCCUCAAACUUCAGCUUAAUUUUAAACAAAUAUCUAUUUUUUUUUCUUUAAAAAAUAUCCUUGACUUUUAUUCUAGUAGAGAUUUUUUUUCUUUUAAAAAGAACUUUUUAUUCAAAAGCUCUAAGUCAAUUAAAAUUCAAAGAUUCUACAUUUGGAACAGCUUUUUUCUAACCCCUAACAUUUUUUUUUCAAAAGGAAGCUUACAAAUAUAAUAUUUUUUUACAAUUUUCCCAAUUUUCCUCAUAUAUUAGAUUUCAUUGGACUUCACCUUGAAGAGGCAAAUAUUUUCUAAUUUUCUAUUAGAAUUUUGUGUAAUCAAAUAAAUAUAAAAAUAAACAGAAAUUAAUAGAAAACAUUUCCUAAAAGAUAAAUUAAAAUAUUUUGAUCUCAUUGGAUUCUCUGAUCUGUAGGGGAAUUCUGUAACAGUAUGACAAUGUCAUUUGAAUGACAAAUUUUAAUUUCUUUAUAUGGUAAAUUCGGAAGAAGUAAUCGGAAAUCCGACUCAUAUAAGUUAAUAGAAGGUUCUUAGAGCUGUAGUAUUAUUAAUAGAGCUGAGUGUAUUGUUAAUAUAUCAAUGACAUUUAUUUAUCUUCAUGGCUUUUAUCAUGCAAUUUGAGGCAUUAGACUAGCUGUUUAAAUAUGAUUCGAAGCUUGAGUCGUGCGAAGGUAGUACGCUUUUUUUACUGCGUUUAUUCAAGUUUAUGCCCAACGUACAAUAACUUUUGCUUGUUUUUGACAUUUCAAUGAGAGUGAGUGAGACCUAUAUCUAGUCAUCUCGCUCAUUUUUAUGUAAAAUUCUGAAAACAUGUUUACAAACAAAAGUUAUUGUGUGUUGGCCAUUCAUUACCUUUAGACGAAUAUCAAUAAGGCUAUGACUAAGUGCAUUAAAGUGAAUUUAAAUGAAACUGAAUAAAUUGAUAACAUUUACAAAUUUGAAUAGAAAUUUCUGUUGAUACAGAGAUUUAAUUAACUAUGUCGGAUAGUGCAUUAUUAAUUUCUGUUUAUUAUGAAAUUUCAUUGCUUUUGACUUUGGUCUCUAUUUGUCCAACAGCAAUUUAUUUGACAUUUAAAUCAAAUAUUUUACCAAUAUGGUAGUUUCCCUCCCAAGAAAUAUAAUUUAUAAUCUGUAAAUUUUUCACUCAGCCAAGACUUGAGCCACUUUAUUAUUCAAUUGAAAACCAAUUUUGUUAAUCAAUGCGAAAGUUAUUGAAGCAGAAUAUUGUGAGAGAAGGCGACUAAAUGAAUUUCGGUAUAAUUAAAUUUUCUAUCUAUUUUGUUUCUCAUUUAUCUUCUGCAAUAUCAGGCACACAAGAAUAUUCAUCGAGAACGGCUGGAAUUUCCUUUGCUGUGGUUUUAGCUGUGAUGGUUCCAGUCUUCCUCAUAAUAAUUUGCUUCGCUUACCAUUUCAUCAGUAAAAAGUUCAGCCAGGAUCUCCAGGAGCAAGAAAAGUUAGACAUGGAUUGAAGACACUUGUUCCUUUUUUUUUCUAUAUACCAUUUAUUGUUAGAAUUUAUGUACAUAUAUAGUAAAAUUUUACCAUGACUUUUUAAUAAAACCACAAACUUGCAAA